rnacentral:rRNA from 1 species
CCUACGGGAGGCAGCAGUGAGGAAUAUUGGUCAAUGGGCUCACGCCUGAACCAGCCAAGUCGCGUGAGUGAAGACUGCCCUAUGGGUUGUAAACCUCUUUUUUCAGGGAGUAAUUUGCGCUACGUGUAGUGUUAUCUAGAGUACCUGAAGAAAAAGCAUCGGCGAACUCCGCGCCAGCAGCCGCGGUAAUACGGAGGAUGCGAGCGUUAUCCGGUUUUAUUGGUUUUAACGGGUGCGUAGGCGGUAUGCCAAGUCAGCGUGAAAAUCGCGGGGCUCAACGUCGCUCCGCCGUUGAUACUGGUGUUGUUGAGUGGGCGAGAGGUAUGCGGAAUGCGUGGUGUAGCGGGGAAAUGCAGAGA